CGCCUUUUGAACUAUAAACAUAAAAGGUCCUGCCUGCCCAGUGACACUUGUUUCAACGGCCGCGGUAUCAUGACCGUGCAAAGGUAGCGUAAUCACUUGUCUUUUAAAUAAAGACCAGUAUGAAUGGCAAGACGAAACCUAACUGUCUCCCUAAGCUAAUCAAUGAAAUUGAUCUUCCCGUGCAGAAGCGGGAAUAAUAAUAUAAGACGAGAAGACCCUGUGGAGCUUCAAACUUAAACUAACAGACAUAAUGCCUUAGUAUACAGUUUUAGGUUGGGGCGACCAUGAGGUAAAACAAAACCCUCAAGACAAAAACUAAGAAGGACACUUCAAAUAAAUAAUAAUAGCGUAAUUGACCCAAUAAUUGAUCAACGAACCAAGUUACCCCAGGGAUAACAGCGCAAUCUACUCAAAGAGCCCUUAUCGACGAGCAGGUUUACGACCUCGAUGUUGGAUCAGGACCCCCAAAUAAUGUAACAAUUAUUAAUGGUUCGUUUGUUCAACGAUUAAAGUCCU
rnacentral:rRNA from 1 species